rnacentral:rRNA from 1 species
GGACCCGCACAAGUAGUGGAGCAUGUGGUUUAAUUCGAAGAUACGCGCAGAACCUUACCAACACUUGACAUGUUCGUCGCGACUUUAAGAGAUUAAAGUUUUCGGUUCGGCCGGACGAAACACAGGUGCUGCAUGGCUGUCGUCAGCUCGUGUCGUGAGAUGUUGGUUAAGUCCCGCAACGAGCGCAACCCUCACUUUUAGUUGCCAUCAUUAAGUUGGGCACUCUGAAAGAACUGCCAGUGAUAAGCUGGAGGAAGGUGGGGAUGACGUCAAGUCCUCAUGGCCCUUACGUGUUGGGCUACACACGUGCUACAAUGGUAUCUACAACAGGAAGCAAGACUGCAAAGGCAAGCUAA